UACGUAGGGGGCAAGCGUUGUCCGGAAUUAUUGGGCGUAAAGAGCGCGUAGGCGGUCCGGUAAGUCAGCUGUGAAAGUCAAGGGCUCAACCCUUGAAAGCCGGUUGAUACUGUCGGGCUAGAGUCCGGAAGAGGCGAGUGGAAUUCCCGGUGUAGCGGUGAAAUGCGCAGAUAUCAGGAGGAACACCAAUGGCGAAGGCAGCACUCUGGGACGUGACUGACGCUGAGACGCGAAAGCGUGGGGAGCAAACAGG
rnacentral:rRNA from 1 species